GUUUUAUUUUAUAUUUUUGUUUGGUCGAGUAGGGAAAAAGAAAAAGUAACUGCGCCAUGUGAAAGUAGUGCAACCAUUGUUAAACAUUGACGUUAUGAUUGAACAUUGGUCGGUGAAAGUGGUGCACUCAUUGACUAUUUUUUUUACUUUUGUUCCCCUCUAGCUUGUCCUUGCAUUGGGGUCCCACCAAAACCUAAAUUUUAUUGGACUACAACGAAUAGAUGAUAAAUCAUGGUGUCAUUUUGUUCAAAUUCUUGCACUAAAAAUCAUUUUAGUGAAUCUAACACCAUUGCCGAAUAAUUUUACAAAUAAAAACAACAACACCAGACAAAAAGGAGUGAUGCCAAAGUUGAAUAAUGCACUUAAAGAACCAUUUUAAUGUUGUGUCACGUGCCGGAUCAUAUUGCAUGUGUAUUCUUUGUGUGGAUUUGAGAGUUGAGUUUUAGAGUGAAGAUAAACGGAAGAUGACAUGUCACAAGUAUAUUUCAUGGUCAUGAACUCUUUCUUUUUCCUUCAUUUCUCUCCAAAACCAACUAGAGUCCUUUUGCGAGUUGAGUUUUAAAGUCAGUAUAUGAUGUCGAGGCUUGAGUGGGAAAAGAAUCAAGUUGCAGAUGCAAAAACAGUUUU